rnacentral:rRNA from 16 species
GGAUGCGAUUAUACCAGCACUAAAGCACCGGAUCCCAUCAGAACUCCGAAGUUAAGCGUGCUUGGGCGAGAGUAAUACUAGGAUGGGUGACCUCUUGGGAAGUCCUCGUGUUGCAUUCC